rnacentral:rRNA from 1 species
GACGAACGCUGGCGGCGUGCUUAACACAUGCAAGUCGAACGGAAAGGCCUGCAGCUUGCUGCGGGUACUCGAGUGGCGAACGGGUGAGUAACACGUGGGUGAUCUGCCUUGCACUUCGGGAUAAGCUUGGGAAACUGGGUCUAAUACCGGAUAGGACAGCUGUUUAGUGUCAGUUGUGGAAAGUUUUUUCGGUGCAAGAUGAGCUCGCGGCCUAUCAGCUUGUUGGUGGGGUAAUGGCCUACCAAGGCGUCGACGGGUAGCCGGCCUGAGAGGGUGUACGGCCACAUUGGUACUGAGAUACGGCCCAGACUCCUACGGGAGGCAGCAGUGGGGAAUAUUGCACAAUGGGCGAAAGCCUGAUGCAGCGACGCCGCGUGGGGGAUGAAGGCCUUCGGGUUGUAAACUCCUUUCGACAGGGACGAAGCGUAAGUGACGGUACCUGUAUAAGAAGCACCGGCUAACUACGUGCCAGCAGCCGCGGUAAUACGUAGGGUGCGAGCGUUGUCCGGAAUUACUGGGCGUAAAGAGCUCGUAGGUGGUUUGUCGCGUCGUCUGUGAAAUUCCGGGGCUUAACUCCGGGCGUGCAGGCGAUACGGGCUGACUUGAGUGCUGUAGGGGAGACUGGAAUUCCUGGUGUAGCGGUGAAAUGCGCAGAUAUCAGGAGGAACACCGAUGGCGAAGGCAGGUCUCUGGGCAGUAACUGACGCUGAGGAGCGAAAGCAUGGGUAGCGAACAGGAUUAGAUACCCUGGUAGUCAUGCCGUAAACGGUGGGCGCUAGGUGUAGGGGGCUUCCACGUCUUCUGUGCCGUAGCUAACGCAUUAAGCGCCCCGCCUGGGGAGUACGGCCGCAA